rnacentral:rRNA from 1 species
CGUUGAGGCGGUUCUGUAAGUUGGACGUGAAAGCUCCUGGCCUAACUGGGAGAGGUCGUUCAAUACUGCAGGACUUGAGGACAGCAGAGGGGGGUGGAAUUCCCGGUGUAGUGGUGAAAUGCGUAGAUACCGGGAGGAACACCAGUGGCGAAGGCGGCCCCCUGGGCUGCUCCUGACGCUGAAGGCGAAAGCUAGGGUAGCAAACAGGAUUAGAUACCCUGGUAGUCC